UACGUAGGGAGCAAGCGUUGUUCGGAUUUACUGGGCGUAAAGGGCGCGUAGGCGGCGCAACAAGUCAGCUGUGAAAUCUCCGGGCUUAACCCGGAGCGGCCAGCUGAUACUGUCGUGCUAGAGUGCGGAAGGGGCUACUGGAAUUCUCGGUGUAGCGGUGAAAUGCGUAGAUAUCGAGAGGAACACCUGUGGCGAAGGCGGGUAGCUGGGCCGACACUGACGCUGAGGCGCGAAAGCUAGGGGAGCGAACGGG
rnacentral:rRNA from 1 species